UACGUAGGGUGCGAGCGUUAAUCGGAAUUACUGGGCGUAAAGCGUGCGCAGGCGGUUUUGUAAGCCAGAUGUGAAAUCCCCGGGCUUAACCUGGGAAUGGCAUUUGGGACUGCAAGGCUGGAGUGCGGCAGAGGAGACUGGAAUUCCUGGUGUAGCAGUGAAAUGCGUAGAUAUCAGGAGGAAUACCGGUGGCGAAGGCAGGUCUCUGGGCUGACACUGACGCUCAUGCACGAAGCGUGGGGAGCAAACAGGA
rnacentral:rRNA from 1 species